ACCUGGUUGAUCCUGCCAGUAAUGAUAUGCUUGUUUUUAAGCCUAAGCCAUGCAAAUGUGGUAUAAAUUGACUUUACGAUGAAACUGUGAACGGCUCAUUAAAUCAGUUAUAGUUUAUUUGAUGGUAUUGAAGUUUUUCUUCAACUACAUGGAUAACUGUAGUAACCUAGAGCUAAUACAUGCAUAAACAAUCAAACUAUUUUAGGAAUGAUUGGCACUUAUUAGAUAUCAAACCAAUAUAUUUUCGGAUAUUAUUUCGGUGAAUCAUAAUAACUGAACAGAUCGCAUGAAUUUAUUUCGGCGACGUUUCAUUCAAAUUUCUGCCCUAUCAACUAGAUGUUAGUAUAUAGGACUAACAUGGUUUUAACGGGUGACGGGGAAUUGGGGUUCGAUUCCGGAGAAGGAGCAUGAGAAACGGCUACUACUUCUAAGGAAAGCAGCAGGCGCGCAAAUUAUUCAAUGGAAACAUUUUUCCGAAAUAGUGACAAAAAAUAACAAUAUGUUGCACAAUGUGUGAUAUAAUUGGAAUGAGUACAAUUUAAAAACCUUAGCGAGUAACAAUUAGAGGGCAAGCCUGGUGCCAGCAGCCGCGGUAAUGACCUUAAAUGCCUUCGUACUAGGGUAGCAGCACUUUCAUAGUGUCCAGCUCUAAUAGCGUAUAUUAAUGUUGUUGCAGUUAAAAAGCUCGUAGUUGAAUUUUGAAUUUUUAAAUAAGUUUGGUUUACAUUUUUAUGUAUAACUACUUGUUUGAAUUCUUCCUACUAGAUACUCGAUACUGUUCUUAAUUGAAUGGUGUAGCAAAAUCUCGGUUUUGUCAAUAUAGUUUUAUAGCUCCUCAAAUAUGUGGAUAUACGUAAAAAUAUAAAAAUAUAUUUAGUGGAAUCAGUUAUUUUAUUAUAUUGGAGUUCUAGUUCAUUUACUUUGAGAAAAUUAGAGUGUUUAAGGCAGCCUCUUGGGGCUCUGAAUACAUUAGCAUGGGAUAAUAAAAUAGGAUUUAAAACAAUAUAUUUGUUGGUUUGAAUGAUUUAAAUAAUGAUUAAUAGGGAUAGUUGGGGGUAUUUAUAUUGGAUGGUUAGCGGUGAAAUGCAUGGAUCCAUUCAAGAUAAACUAAAGCGAAAGCAUUUACCAAGGAUAUUUUCAUUAAUCAAGAACGAAAGUUAAGGGAUCGAAGAUGAUCAGAUACCGUCGUAGUCUUAACCAUAAACUAUGCCGACCAGGGAUAUGAGUUGUUAUGAAUAUAGAAAUAUGUUCAAUUUCUUCUUAUGAACCUUGUGAGAAAUCAUAAGUUUUUGGGUUCUGGGGGGAGUAUGGUCGCAAGGCUGAAACUUAAAGGAAUUGACGGAGGGGCACCACCAGGAGUGGAGCGUGCGGCUUAAUUUGACUCAACACGGGAAAACUUACCAGGUCCAGACAUUAGAAGGAUUGACAGAUUGAUAGCUCUUUCAUGAUUUAAUGGGUGGUGGUGCAUGGCCGUUCUUAGUUGGUGGAGUGAUUUGUCUGGUUAAUUCCGAUAACGAACGAGACCUUUACCAUACUAAAUAGUUUGAUUUAUGAUUUUUCAUAGAUUUUUAUUUAAACUUCUUAAAGGGACUAUUGGUUUCUAAACCAAAGGAAGUAAAGGCGAUAACAGGUCUGUGAUGCCCUUAGAUGUUCUGGGCUGCACGCGCGCUACAAUGAUAAACUCAACGAGUAUAUAUUUUAUUUUAUUGCUUUACCGGAAGGUAUGGCUAAUCUUAAACGUUUAUCGUGCUUGGGAUAGAUGAUUGCAAUUAUUUAUCUUGAACCAGGAAUUCCUAGUAAUCGUAUAUCAUCAGUGUGCGAUGAUUACGUCCCUGCCCCUUGUACACACCGCCCGUCGCUGCUACCGAUUGGAUGAUCCGGUGAAAUCUUCGGAUAAUAAUAAAUACUUUACUUUGUAAAGUUUAUUGUUAGAAGUUGAUUAAACCUUAUCAUCUAGAGGAAGCAAAAGUCGUAACAAGGCUUCCGUAGGUGAACCUGCGGAAG
rnacentral:rRNA from 1 species